rnacentral:tRNA from 1 species
AACAAAGAAGAUAGGCAGAUUUAGAAUCUGGUUUUUACAAUUAUUUGUACUUUGUUG